rnacentral:rRNA from 1 species
GCGUGAGUGAUGAAGGCCCUAGGGUUGUAAAGCUCUUUCGCCAGGGACGAUAAUGACGGUACCUGGAUAAGAAGCCCCGGCUAACUUCGUGCCAGCAGCCGCGGUAAUACGAAGGGGGCUAGCGUUGUUCGGAAUUACUGGGCGUAAAGCGCAUGCAGGCGGAUCGCUAAGUCGGGGGUGAAAGCCCGAGGCUCAACCUCGGAACUGCCUUCGAUACUGGUGAUCUUGAGUCCGGGAGAGGUGAGUGGAACUCCGAGUGUAGAGGUGAAAUUCGU